AUGGGAGGCCGGAGGGAAAGAGAAGGGAGAGGUGAGGUGCGGCGGUGUCCUGCUGCUGCUCGCCGGUGGCUUGCCGGCCAUAGGCGCGAGGUGGGGGCUCUGUCCGGCGGUUUCCCAGGACAUCUACUACCGGAAGGCCAAGGAGGAGGGGUGGAGGCUCGCAGCGCCUUCAAGCUCAUGCAGAUCGACCAAGAGUUCAACAUCUUCCACGGAGUGAAGCGUGCCGUUGACCUGUGCGCUGCUCCUGGGAGCUGGAGCCAGAUUUUGAGCCACAAUUUGUAUCUACCGCAAAGCUAUCAUCUGACGGCAACAGACAUGGUGGCCGGAAUUGAUCUGCAACCGAUGGCUCCGAUAGAAGGUGUUAUACAAGUGCAGGGCGACAUCACCAAUGCUCGGGCAGCGGAAGUGGUUAUCAGGCACUUUGAUGGAUGUAGAGCAGACUUGGUUGUCUAUGAUGCCGCCCCUGAUGUUACUGGACUUCAUGAUAUGGACGAGUUUGUUCAGUCUUCAGUCCCAGCUUAUAUUGGCAGUUGGUAUAAUUUUCUCUGUCUCUGCAUAUCAAUUUAG
rnacentral:rRNA from 1 species